AUAGGGGCUCUGUAAUCCCAGUAAAAUUUUCAGGUUUGUUCUGCACUGAUAUGAUGACAUGCUCUGCAUUGUGAAGAUACAGAAAGUGCCAAACAUGAUGAAAGAUGUCAUCAAGGACGCGGAUUCCAGAGCUGGUGUGUGUUUUUGUGUGUUAUUAUUAAUCUCUGGCUCUCUUCCACAGCUCGUCUUUGUCCUGUCUUUUUCCGCUCAUCUCCCACCCAUUUGCGGCAGAUGGCCACCCGUCCAUGAGCCUGGUUCUGCAGGACAUUUCUUCAUGUUAAAAGAUUGUUGUCCCCCUUAUACACCAUGGAGGGGUCAUUUUAUAGACCAAAGAGGUAUUCGCCUGAUCAGCACUCUUGCUUGAGAGAAGAGAGUGGAUACUCCGAUGUCAGCAAUAUUGCAAAUCGAUGCAUUUUCCCAUCCGCCUGCUAUGAUGGAUCACUCUGGAAAACCUCAAAUUGACUGGAAAGCUGAUGUAUGUGCUAUAUUAGUAUACUCAUUAUUCUUCAAACCCGAGUUCAGCUUCUCUUUCUGCUUUUGUUUCGAGUUUCAAGAAAUAGGAGCUGACUGCAGCAACUACCAACAUCCUUAACAACUUCUAAAAAUGACACAAAACUUUGACCUACGCAGUCCAACUUCUUCUUUUCUGUUUGCUCAUGCUUUUAUCGGACAUCAGCAAAAGUCACCUAUAGCUAUAGAUUUCUCAGUGCUGGGACGCCGGCCUUUGACCAGUUUUUCUGCUCAGAAUGACAUUUUUAAAUCGUUAUCUGUACAACUGACUGACGGAGGCUUUGGCUUGAAUUCCAGAGUUAAAUCACAGAAAGCAAGACUCCCCUUCUGUCAGGGAAAGCUUAAGCUUAAGCUUAAGCAACGAGACUUUAACUCAUAAUAGUAUUAAAGUUGCAACAGGCACCUCAGCAGGCUGUAUUCUCUAAAGCAUAAUUCAGAAAGGAUGUCUAAUAUUCUUACUAAAUUGUCAUUUUUUUUAAAAGUUUUAGAUACUGUUUAAUUGAUAGUUAUUUUGAAUUUGAGGAUAAAGUUUCAUAUUAUUUUAUUUAUGAAGUGCAUCAGAGUCAGCAUGAGGUUUUUGGGGGUGAAUGAUGGGCUGAAGUGUGGCUCUGCAUCCCGACUCAGUUUGUGAAGAGAUUCAAGUCAUAAAAGUGGGUUUGCUAUUUUAGGCAUGUGCUACACAAAAUAUACACAGUGUAACUGAAAACACUGUGAAACUUUGUUGGUAUCAAACAAGAGCAAAAUCUUACGCUGAUUAAAAUCAGAGUCAGCUCUACUGGCCACAAAUAUGUACACACACAGUGGGCUCUAUUUUGUUAAUUGCACACAAUGUGCUUAACAGACUCGACAACCAGACAACAACAGCAUAACACACAAUAACAUUUAUAACACAUAUACAUAUGUGCAGUGGUGCAGAAUGUGACAAUCUUGGAGUAAUAGGGUGGAUAACUGCUUACUAUAUGCACAGAUAUAGAUAUGUUCAACUUAACAAAAUUGUAUUACUGUUUAGGUAGAAACAGUAACUGAAACCAAGGUCUUUGUGGUUUUGGCAAGUUGUUUUUCAGUUAAUCCUUAGUUCUUGUUUAAUCACACUUCACUCAUAAACUUAUGAUAUUAUAACAUGCUUUCAGAAGAUAAAUUUUUACAUACUUCUAUCUACUUUAUCUGCUUCUAUGCCCAGGGACUCCAGAUGGAAAUUAGAUAGUAGCUAAAUCUGGUGCAAUGCAUCUUUUCUCUUAGGAGAUUAAUGUUUGUUUGUUUUUGUACAUGGUCCCGGACAAAUAAAGUGGAAAUGAAAUGAAACAAACAGUAUCAAAGAGGGAUGUAGACUCUGUGAUAUCACCCACUUGUUUUGAAGUUUUGGCUGCCACCUUGUUGUUUUUUUGUGGAGACAGAAGUUACCAUAUAUGGAUGAAAGGGUGGAGACUUAAGUUGUCAGCUAAUGCUUUUGAGGUUACUCGGCAAGCUGCGUUAAAUAAACUGUAUGCGUGCGUACACACGUAUGUGCGUAUGCACAUAUCUACUGUUUGGUGCUAAGGGACAGAAUAAUAAAAUACUAAAAUGUGACUCUUGAACACACACACACACACACACACACACACACACACACACACACACACACGUAGUGAAAAGAUCUGGUUUAAGUAAUGGACUUGAAGUACUAGAAGUGUGGCCUAAAGGAUUCCAGUUGUGACUCUUGUAAUGAGGGGAAAAGUUAUCCACAGAGACCAAACUGGCUGUUAGACAUGCUUUUAAUUCUGUAAUGCAGUUUUUGGCACUUCACUUCACAUCACCUGUUUUUAAUCUACUACACCCGUUACCCCUGUCUUCACCUACCACUUGUCAAUUUUCUUAUUCUCGCUGGGCAGGUUUUCAGAUGUUUUGCAGUAUUCAUUGUUUGUGUUUCUAGUGAUUUCUCCCCGUGUAUGACUUUUGUCUGCCAUCGGAAAUUUGCCUCUCACCUGUUCCCAGCUUGAUUUGUUUGUCCUAGCCGACUGCCUACUUGUGCAUGACCACGGACUGUUUGAUUAAAGAUUGUUUUCGACUACCUGUGCCACAG
ensembl:lncRNA